CAGCACCUCAAGUGGUCAGGAUGAUUAUUGGGCCUAAAGCAUCCGUAGCCGGCGCUGUAAGUUUUCGGUUAAAUCUGUACGCUCAACGUACAGGCUGCCGGGAAUACUGCAGCGCUAGGGACUGGGAGAGGUAGACGGUACUCGGUAGGAAGGGGUAAAAUCCUUUGAUCUAUUGAUGACCACCUGUGGCGAAGGCGGUCUACCAGAACACGUCCGACGGUGAGGGAUGAAAGCUGGGGGAGCAAACCGGAUUAGAUACCCGAGUAGUCC
rnacentral:rRNA from 1 species